rnacentral:rRNA from 1 species
CAGUCUCAGUUCGGAUCGCAGGCUGCAACUCGCCUGCGUGAAGUUGGAAUUGCUAGUAAUCGCGGAUCAGCAUGCCGCGGUGAAUACGUUCCCGGGUCUUGUACACACCGCCCGUCACACCAUGGGAGUCGGAAAUGCCCGAAGUCAGUGACCCAACCGUAAGGAGGGAGCUGCCGAAGGUGGAGCCGGUAACUGGGGUGAAGUCGUAACAAGGUAGC